rnacentral:rRNA from 1 species
UACGUAGGGAGCUAGCGUUACUCGGAAUCACUGGGCGUAAAGCGUAUGUAGGCGGAAUUUCAAGUCAGGGGUGAAAUCCCGGGGCUCAACCCCGGAAUUGCCUUUGAAACUGUAAUUCUUGAGUAUGGUAGAGGAUGGUGGAAUUUCCAGUGUAGAGGUGAAAUUCGUAGAUAUUCGCAAGAACACCAGUGGCGAAGGCGGCUCACUGGCCCGGUACUGACGCUGAGGUGCGAAAGCGUGGGGAGCAAACAGG